CCUACGGGAGGCUGCAGUGGGGAAUAUUGGACAAUGGGGGCAACCCUGAUCCAGCCAUGCCGCGUGUGUGAAGAAGGCCCUCGGGUUGUAAAGCACUUUCAGUGAGGAAGAACGCCUGGUGGUUAAUACCCAUCAGGAAAGACAUCACUCACAGAAGAAGCACCGGCUAACUCCGUGCCAGCAGCCGCGGUAAUACGGAGGGUGCGAGCGUUAAUCGGAAUUACUGGGCGUAAAGCGCGCGUAGGUGGCUUGAUAAGCCGGUUGUGAAAGCCCCGGGCUCAACCUGGGAACGGCAUCCGGAACUGUCAAGCUAGAGUGCAGGAGAGGAAGGUAGAAUUCCCGGUGUAGCGGUGAAAUGCGUUGAGAUCGGGAGGAAUACCAGUGGCGAAGGCGGCCUUCUGGACUGACACUGACACUGAGGUGCGAAAGCGUGGGUAGCAAACAGGAUUAGAUACACUUGUGUA
rnacentral:rRNA from 1 species